rnacentral:lncRNA from 1 species
UUCUGAUGAAUCCGCUCGAGCUGAGACCGAGGUUGAAUCACUUAAAACUUCAGAACUGGUUCCGAGGAGACGGGACUAAAGCAGGGACAGAGAGUGGGCCCGGAUUUGCAAAAUGAAAAGGAAAGCGGAUCCGAACUCGAGCACUGGUUCCGAGCAGACGGGACUAAAGCAGGGACAGAGAGUAGGCCUGGAUUUGCCACAUGAAAAAGGAAAGUUUUACCCAAGUAAGACAUCGGGUGCGCAGGAGACCGUAUCUCGGUCAAAAAAAGGGAGAAAUGUGGGGUAAAGCACAAGAUCGGAAAACAUUCGGCUGGUUUUUUUAUUUUUCUCCUCACACCUCUCUCUCCAGCUGGACGUGAGGGAUUGUUUCGGAUAGACUGCCAUCUUUCCGACCACGGGAUACGGCGCCCCGGCCGCAUCCGCUCCCGCUAAAGGCCCCACGCCCUGGAGUCCGGUGACAUCACAGUGUCAGCGCGUUCCUCGACGGAGCAGGGGCUCGGGGGGCCGUCGCCGGGUAACGGUGAGGUUCGAUGAAAUGCCUCGGGUGGAAGAUGGAGAGUCGACGGGCUCCCCCUUUCCCCGGAAAAUGCCCUUCGGGCCGAGCGGCCCUGGCUCGGAUCUUCUCCGUUCUCUUCCUGCUCUACGGCUCUGGGGAGACGCAAACUCUUCGACUGCCCCGCCGCCCGGGGCUGCCUCCCCUGCGGGCUGGAGACGCGGACCGGUACGAUCGCGGGAGGGGAGGUCGACCUCCCGUUCCUUCUCCCAGGCUGCUUCCGACCGGGGCUCUCCCGGUGGACGCCGGCCCCUCUCCGGACGCGCCGGAACCGGCUUCGGCCAACCGUGCCGCUCGCUUUGAGUUCGUUAAAACUCCCGAAGAUAUUCCGGAAGAGAAACCCCCGAAACCCCCUCCCCGGAAGGAUAUCCUAAAGAUGGGCAUUUGGGCCUGCUUGGUGGUCAUGGGAUUUCUGCUGAUCAUCGUCACAGUUUUCCAGAUACUGACUUUUUGUCAUAUUACCCAGCCGAUGAAAAAUUGCCUAAAGAGACUUCGGAGAAGCGAUAAGUCGCGUUCGGAUUGUAAACGCGAGGCGGGGGGACGGACGGACUCUAACGUGAGCUCGAGCGCGGGAGAGUUCCCCCUGGGAGAAUCCAUCCCGCCCUCCCCCGCCAGCCAGGAGAGCAACGUCUCGUCGGAAGCCCGGUAUUCUCCUAACGGCGCGGGCUCUUGUGAUGAAACCCCCGGGACGAGCCCUCCACCCCGGAGCGUUUCCGACUUCUCCCCCGGAGGCGGCGUCUGCGCGCCGGAACCCGGCGAGGACGGGGACCUGCGGGGGGAGAGCCCGGCCGAUGCAGGCGGCCGGGCGGGAGAAAGCGACUCCCCGCCGUGGAAAAUCGGGCAGGGCAAUUCGGAGUGGGAAAAUUACCAGGACUUCACCCAGGGCCGCUCUCCCUCUUUCGCCGAGGCGGCCGAGUCGGAAGAGCGGCACCGGUGAGCGUUCCGCGCCGCCUGGAAAACGUCAUCGCGCCCGGCGUCUUUCACCUCUUCCUAGAGAAAAUCCCGGAGGGCACCAUCUCGCUAUCUGACCCGAUCGUAGAUACGAUUCCGCUCCCGGCCGUCGGAUCCACCUGUCCCGGGACGCGUGGCCGCCUCUCGGAGGCCCCCCCCCCCCCCCCCGCUCCUGGCUGAAGAGAAGGGCUCUCCCCCCACCGGCGGGCCCCGGGCUCGUGUUCCUGGUCGAGGAUCUCACCUUUACCGUAAUAAAGCUAGGCCGUUUUGAAAAUUUUAAAAGAACGACCACCGGCUCUCCGUGUUUGCUUGGCCUGUUGUCGAGCUGUGUUCGGCGCUGACGCCGAUUACAGGUGGGACGUCGUCCGACGGAUGCCCAAAAGCCCUUUCCCUCCAAACUCCCCGAGUCACGUCGUCAGCUUCUCGGUGCGGGGUUUUGGGGUGUUGGUUGGUCCCCCUGCUCCCACGGACCCAUCCCUUCAGAUAUACGUGUCCUCCUCUUCACCCGGCACAGAUUUCUCCUUUUCCAAAUGCCCAGUGACGAAAAAGAGGGAAUGUUCAGUUGAGCCGUAACCCGUGUGGAAGUAGCCCCCGUUUCCGGGGGUCGCUUACCCACGCCGGGUUGAGAAGCCAUUUGGCUGAAUCGCACCGGUCACGUCCUCAAAUGGCAGCCCCCUUGAAAAAGCGCGGCCUCCGGACCGUCCGUAACUCGCGUUUUGAACUCGGCCACGGGCUGUUCGGAAGCAUCGCCGCCCCGACGCUCCUCUCUCCUGGUUCUUUUCUCGUCUCACUGGCCGUUCAUUCUCGGUCUCAUUCGUGGGCGCCGCCUCCACCUCCCACCCCCUGACUGCGGGGCCCCCUCGGUGUUGUUCUGCGUCCCCCUCUCCUCCGCAUCCGCUCCCUUGGAGGGCUCGUUCGCUCCCGUGACUUCAACUACACCCUCCCCGUCCACCGUCUUGCAUCUCCUGCCGCCUUCUCCGCUCCUCUAACGUUAACCUCGAUCGAUCUCGCCGCCGGCCCCGCGCCCUCGUCCUCCCU